GAUGAACGCUAGCUACAGGCUUAACACAUGCAAGUCGCGGGGCAGCAUGGGGGUUGCUUGCAAUCCCCGAUGGCGACCGGCGCACGGGUGAGUAACGCGUAUCCAACCUGCCCUUCACCACGGGAUAACCCGGCGAAAGUCGGACUAAUACCGUAUGUUGUCCAUUGACGGCAUCCGAUUUGGACGAAAGGCUUGGCGGUGAGGGAUGGGGAUGCGUCCGAUUAGCCAGACGGCGGGGUAACAGCCCACCGUGGCUACGAUCGGUAGGGGUUCUGAGAGGAAGGUCCCCCACACUGGAACUGAGACACGGUCCAGACUCCUACGGGAGGCAGCAGUGAGGAAUAUUGGUCAAUGGGCGUAAGCCUGAACCAGCCAAGUAGCGUGCAGGAUGACGGCCCUAUGGGUUGUAAACUGCUUUUAUGCGGGGAUAAAGUGGCCCACGUGUGGGCUUUUGCAGGUACCGCAUGAAUAAGGACCGGCUAAUUCCGUG
rnacentral:rRNA from 1 species